AGUGAAUAGAUACCCAGGUAGUCCACGCCGUAAACGAUGUUCACUAGGUGUUGGGGGUAUUGACCCUCUCAGUGCCGGAGCUAAACGCAUUAAGUGAACCGCCUGGGGAGUACGGUCGCAAGACUAAAACUCAAAGGAAUUGACGGGGGCCCGGCACAAGCGGUGGAGCAUGUGGUUUAAAUUCGAUGCAACGCGAAGAACCUUACCUGGACUUGACAUCCCGGGAAUCUCCUGGAAACAGGAGAGUGCCUUUCGGGGAACCCGGGAGACAGGUGCUGCAUGGCUGUCGUCAGCUCGUGUCGUGAGAUGUUGGGUUAAGUCCCGCAACGAGCGCAACCCUUGUCUUUAAUUGCCAGCAUUCAGUUGGGCACUUUAGAGAGACUGCCGGUGUUAAGCCGGAGGAAGGUGGGGAUGACGUCAAGUCCUCAUGGCCUUUAUGUCCAGGGCUACACGCGUGCUACAAUGGAUGGUACAAAGAGCAGCGACCUCGCGAGAGUGAGCAAAUCUCAAAAACCCAUCCUCAGUUCGGAUUGGAGUCU
rnacentral:rRNA from 1 species